rnacentral:rRNA from 1 species
UACGGGGGGGGCAAGCGUUGUUCGGAAUUACUGGGCGUAAAGGGCUCGUAGGCGGCCAACUAAGUCAGACGUGAAAUCCCUCGGCUUAACCGGGGAACUGCGUCUGAUACUGGAUGGCUUGAAUCCGGGAGAGGGAUGCGGAAUUCCAGGUGUAGCGGUGAAAUGCGUAGAUAUCUGGAGGAACACCGGUGGCGAAGGCGGCAUCCUGGACCGGCAUUAACGCUGAGGAGCGAAAGCCAGGGGAGCAAACGGG